rnacentral:ribozyme from 1 species
AAAUCUAUGGAAAACACUACAAACUCGGUGCUUUUGAAAAGAAAUGAGAUAAUGAGGUUUUUGAACCUCUCAAAUAAAUGAAAAACC